rnacentral:misc_RNA from 1 species
UCUCCGUUGGUGAACCAGCGGAGGGAUCAUUAUCGAGUGUAAAAACUCACCAAACCCUGUGAACAUACCUUCUGUUGCUUCGGCGGGAUCGCCCCGGGCGCUGUGCCCCGGAUCCAGGCGCCCGCCGGAGGACCUAAACUCUUGUCUUUAUGAGAUUUAUCUGAGUGGCUUUAUAGCAAAAAUGAAUCAAAACUUUCAACAACGGAUCUCUUGGUUCUG